AAGUCCAUAAUUGUUUAAUUAUACCAAGUGUGGUUGUCUUGCUGUCAAAGACCCACUUGAAGUCUCAAAGAUCAGUUUGCUGCUUUGCUGUCAGCUUCCCCAUCUUAGCAUGAUUGCUUAAUUGGUUCUCUUGUGGCUAUCUUGCUGUCAAAAACACAAUCCUCUUUUGUGUGGUUGUCUUGCUGUCGAAAGCCAAGGACCAUCUUUGAAGAAUAGUUCAAUAACUGCAAUUGCAACUUGCUACAUCAUCUCAGUUUGCUGCCUUGCUGUCUUGCUUCCCCAUCUCAUCUUGCUGUCUUGUCCAAGAUCAAGCUUCAAACUUGAAGAUCAAAAGAAGACCCCUCUUCAUCAUAGCUUAGGUACGCCAUAGCUGAUUCAUAUGGUCAUUUCUUGUUCAUGCAAGAUUACUGAUCCCUCCAACUCCUGGACACGCUGAAGUUCACACGGUGACAGGGGGCUAGGGUGGCUUAAUUUGAUCCCAUGAAUCAGAGAUUUUACGUACGAACAAACUCGAUCCGUUGAUCUUCUCUUUUAGUAUAGUACGACGUGGUUUAGCCAGGCUAACAAAGUCUUGAAGUUAACCAAUGGUUAAAGUCUCAGAGUAGAGUAAACGAGUAGUAGAGUUGACAAAAAAGAGUAGACACGUAGUAGAGGCACUAAUUGGAGCUGGGGUGCUUAUGUCCCUCUGUACUCGAUCUGCAGCACCUCUCUAAUUUGGUUUGUGGUCACCUUUGUUUUUGCAAUUCAAAGGACGAAGUUAAAGCUUUUCA